UGUUCACUGUUUGGGCUGGGUGUUUUUGCUUUCACUCAAAAUAGUUAUUCUAAGAUUCAUAUAACUUUUCACAUACAUCGAUAGUUCAUUUUUGAAUUGAACACUAUUCCAUUGCAGGGCUAUAUUAUAAUUUGUUUAUCCAUUCAGGGUUUGAUGGAUAUUUGGUUUGUUUCCAGUUCUUGUUUGUUACAAACAAGGUUGCUGUGAACAUUUGUGUACAGGUCUUUGUGUGGAUAGAUGGUUUCGUUUCUCUUGGGUAAAUGCCCAGAAGAGUAUAAAUCAUAGAGUUACUGGUUUUAUUUUUAAAGAAAUUCUCAAGUUGUUUUCCAAAGUGCUUACAUGAGGGCUUUCAUUUUUCUGCAUCCUCACCAACACCUGAUAUAUGCCAAGUCUUUAAUUUUAACCAUUCUGCUUGGGGUGUCGGUUUCUUACUGUGCUUUUAAUUCACAUUUCUCUGAUUAGCGUGACUCAGUUUUGAUGUGCUUGCUUGUGAUCCGCGUAGCUUCGGUGGCAAAGUUUCUGUUCAGAUUUUUGGCCUAUGCUUAUUGGUGUUUAGUUUUAAUUUGUUUUGUUUGUCUUCUCAUUAUUGAGAUUUGGGAAUUAUUUAUAUGUUCUGGAUACAAAUCCUUUAUGGAGAUACAUAAUUUUCAGUAUUUUCUUCUGGUCUGUGGCUUAUCUUUUUAUUCUCUCUCCAGAUCUCCCUGUGCUCCGUUCUGCAAACCAGGGCGGCGUGUUAACCUCAGAAUCUCAGAAUCUCGGCUCCAGAAGCCCACCAUGCUGCACCAGGACUCCAAGCGCAAAAAGACUCUUCCCACCAAACGCACUUUAAAACAUCAUCUCAUUGGUCAACGAGCCUCAGGACACUGACUGACCUUAGGCCAGAGAGGUGGCAGCCCGUAAGAGUCUGAAGAUUGUGGGUGUGGUUCCAGAAGGUCAUCAGCAUGUAAUCCUGAAACAGGCAAGGGCUGAGAAGUCUCUGUUCUAUGUCAUUAGAGCAUGAAGCCAAAUUCAGAUAACGCUGGCGUGAGCCAGAAAGAACAGGGGCAAACGCUCUCGAGUCGGUGCCACCCUUCCAGAAGAAAGACUGUUCUCUGAGCCCUCAGUGUAGGGCGAGGAACAGUUCCUGAGUGAGAGCCAGCGACUGUAGAACCUGUCACACGGCUCAUGUCCUCUGAUGUCACCACGCAUGUUAAAUUCUAUGCUUUUCCUCCAAAGGGAGGGCUCAGAUGCUCUGAAUAAAUCCUGCAUCAGUUAAAUCUCA
rnacentral:lncRNA from 1 species